UUUCUUGAAUAUAGUUUCGACUGAAUGCUGACUCAGCUCUAUGUAGAACAGUAAAAGUUUGACUAUAAUAACCAUAUGCUAGCAUUAUUUUAU